UACGUAGGGUGCAAGCGUUAAUCGGAAUUACUGGGCGUAAAGCGUGCGCAGGCGGCUUUGCAAGACAGAUGUGAAAUCCCCGGGCUUAACCUGGGAACUGCAUUUGUGACUGCAUGGCUGGAGUGCGGCAGAGGGGUAUGGAAUUCCGCGUGUAGCAGUGAAAUGCGUAGAUAUGCGGAGGAACACCGAUGGCGAAGGCAAUCCCCUGGGCCUGCACUGACGCUCAUGCACGAAAGCGUGGGGAGCAAACAGG
rnacentral:rRNA from 1 species